rnacentral:rRNA from 1 species
CAGUAGCGAAGUUCCUGAUGUCACACUGCCAAGAAAAGCUUCUAGUGAGAAAGUAACUGCCCGUACCGCAAACCGACACAGGUAGUUGAGGAGAGAAUCCUAAGGUGUGCGAGAGAACUCUCGUUAAGGAACUCGGCAAAAUGACCCCGUAACUUCGGGAGAAGGGGUGCUGACCGCAAGGUCAGCCGCAGUGAAUAGGCCCAAGCGACUGUUUAUCAAAAACACAGGUCUCUGCAAAAUCGAAAGAUGACGUAUAGGGGCUGACGCCUGCCCGGUGCUGGAAGGUUAAGAGGAGAGGUUAGCGCAAGCGAAGCUUUGAAUUGAAGCCCCAGUAAACGGCGGCCGUAACGAUAACGGUCCUAAGGUAGCGAAAUUCCUUGUCGGGUAAGUUCCGACCCGCACGAAAGGCGUAACGAUUUGGGCACUGUCUCAACGAGAGACUCGGUGAAAUUAUAGUACCAGUGAAGAUGCUGGUUACCCGCGACAGGACGGAAAGACCCCAUGGAGCUUUACUGCAGUUUGAUAUUGCGUGUUUGUAUCACAUGUACAGGAUAGGUAGGAGCCGAAGAUACCGGGACGCCAGUCUCGGAGGAGGCAACGGUGGGAUACUACCCUUGUGAUAUGACCACUCUAACCCGCUGCUCUUAGCGAGCAGGGAGACAGUGUCAGACGGGCAGUUUGACUGGGGCGGUCGCCUCCAAAAAUGUAACGGAGGCGCCCAAAGGUUCCCUCAGAAUGGUUGGAAAUCAUUCGUAGAGUGUAAAGGCAGAAGGGAGCUUGACUGCGAGACCUACAAGUCGAGCAGGGACGAAAGUCGGGCUUAGUGAUCCGGUGGUUCCGCAUGGAAGGGCCAUCGCUCAACGGAUAAAAGCUACCCUGGGGAUAACAGGCUUAUCUCCCCCAAGAGUUCACAUCGACGGGGAGGUUUGGCACCUCGAUGUCGGCUCAUCGCAUCCUGGGGCUGUAGUCGGUCCCAAGGGUUGGGCUGUUCGCCCAUUAAAGCGGUACGCGAGCUGGGUUCAGAACGUCGUGAGACAGUUCGGUCCCUAUCCGUCGCGGGCGUUGGAAAUUUGAGAGGAGCUGUCCUUAGUACGAGAGGACCGGGAUGGACACACCGCUGGUGUACCAGUUGUUCUGCCAAGAGCAUCGCUGGGUAGCUAUGUGUGGACGGGAUAAACGCUGAAAGCAUCUAAGCGUGAAGCCCCCCUCAAGAUGAGAUUUCCCAUCACUUUAAGUGAGUAAGACCCCUGAGAGAUGAUCAGGUAGAUAGGUUGGGAGUGGAAGUACAGCGAUGUAUGGAGCGGACCAAUACUAAUCGGUCGAGGACUUAACC